rnacentral:tRNA from 4 species
GCCACCUUAGCUCAGCUGGUAGAGCAGCUGAUUUGUAAUCAGCAGGUCGCCGGUUCGAUCCCGGCAGGUGGCU